GAACAGUAAGAGUAAAUUUCCAGUUUGCUUAGGUAAGCUAACGAAAGUAAAGAGAAGCAUGAAAGAAGUGGAUUUCAAAUAUGACUGCUCAAGACCCACAGGCAGUCAAAGAAAUACCAGAAAUUUGUUCUUAGUUGAACACAAAUUCAAAUGCUUUGUUAAUCCGGAUAUAAUUUUAUCCACAGCAUGCACCAUUAAAUAUUAAUCUUUUUGAGCACUCAUUCCCCGUCCCCCCAGCAAUUCAAAAUAGUUCAAAAUACUUAGGGAAAAAUUGUUAUCAAAACAAAGCAAAACCUGAAUCAGAGUGAAUUAUACCAGCCACCUAGUCACUAAAGCAAUGCUAGACAAGCACAGACGGUGAACAUCUGGGUUUGCUUGCCUGCAGGGGGUGGAGUGAAGAAAGCAGAAGGCAUCAGCAGGUGAAGCAGGCACUGCACUUGUGUCUCCUGAGCACAUUCUUCAAAAAUGACUUACUUUCACCAGUUUAGUGUGCCAAAACUCACUGCUUUUCAGACUAUGAUGAAAAAAAUGUUGGAGGAAGUGGUGUCAACAUCAGGAAAGAAAAGAGUCCAAGGGAGGAGGAGUCUUCUUUAUGAUGCUCACCCCCACGUGUCUGCACAAGCCAUGCUCCCUCUGAUGACGGAUCCUUACUAAGGGUCCUUGUCGUCCUGAUCAACUAAAUGAACGAUGCAGCAUCUCCUUGGAAAAAAUGUGCAGCAGAAGUGCACGACAGAUGGUGAUCCAUGCUGCUCAGGCCUGGCUUCUGAAGGGCUUUGGCACUGGGAGUAACAAAACUGGAAUGUGCUGCUUGCUUUUGGGGGUGCUGCUGACCCGGUGAAGAUGUCCCUGAGAACACUGCCAGGACUACUGAUAAUUUUAGCACUCCACUGAAGGCAUUAGAUCACAGUUAUUAGCUAUGGAGUAUGGUUGAAAAAUUGUUUUAACAUUUAAUUUCUGUAGCUUUUUAUAUGUUUAUUCUUUUGAGAGACUUGGUUCAUCUUUGGUGUUUAGUGAGAGCAUCUUCUAAGAGCUCAUAUCUGGUCAAUUCUCCAUGCUUGUCUUCUAUUGUAUUUUGCAUAUUUUAUAUUAAAAUAAUUGGUUUUGGGCAGCCUGGGUGGCUCAGUGGUUUAGCCCUGCCUUCAGCCCAGGGCAUGAUCCUGGAGACCCG